CUGCCUAUCCUUAUAAGACCAAAGCAGGCAAAUUAUUGUGCAGGAAAACUACUUCUUCAUCUGGCUGGAAAAGCAGAGGCAACAGUUCUGCCCACAGGGAACACAUAUCAAAGGAAGAAAUUCCUGGAUCUGACUGAUGCCAUUAAAAGCAGCCGGAUUGCACUGAUGUGUGUUCUAAUGGUCGAUGGUUGCAUCUAAUGGUGUGAACAAGAUGGGAAACACCUGAUGUUCCUUUAAAUGACAGAAGAGCGGUGCAUUUCAGGUCAUGAAAGUAACACAGACUGCCAUCAAUAAGGAUACCUUGGAAACGUUUAUGCCUUCUUCGCACAUUAUUCUCACUUGCCGUGUUUGUAGAUUGGAUAAAACUAAUCAUCCUUGCCUAAUGUGAAGAGCAUUCCAGGACUAUCUGCGUGGAUUGCCGACUAGGUGUCAUGCUAGAAGGCCUGUGUUUAAUGCACACUUGUGAGUCAGCUCAUGUUCAGGUAAAGGAUGCAACAUACAUCCUCUGCAACACAGGCUACAUAUUAAAAAAAAAAAAAAAAAAAAAGGAAAAAACCAAAAGAUAA